rnacentral:snRNA from 1 species
AUACUUAUGAUGAUGCAGGGGAGAUACCAUCAUCAAGAAGGUGGGUUUCCAGGGCAAGACUUAUCCAUUACACUCCAAAUAUGCUGACUCCUGUGAUUUUCCCAAAUGUGGGAAACUUAACUGCAUAAUUUGUGGUAGUGGGGGACUGUAUUUGUGCUCUUCCCUA